GUUAAAAUUUACCUUCAGAGCGUUAAUUUGUCCUAUGAAUGAUUAAUAAAAAAGAUUAUUACGUUUCACAAAAUAAAAAAGAUGAUUACGAUUUCUUCUUAAAUUAAUCCGUUCUAGGCAGUCCAUUUGGAUUUUUGGCCACAGAAGAUGGUCUGGUAUCAGGGAAUGCUGGCCUAAAAGAUCAAGCAUUUGCACUUCAGUGGGUUCAUGACAACAUAAACUUAUUUGGAGGUGAUUCAGAAAAAGUUGUUAUUUUUGGUCAAAGUGCUGGAGGAUCUUCAGUAGGAUACCAGUUACUGUACAAGAAAAACGAAGGUUUAUUUAGAGGAGGUAUUUUGCAAAGUGGCAGUCCUUUAAGUAUAUUCAGUUACAUGCAAGAUAUUAGCGCAAGGGAUUAUGCAUUUGAUUUAGCAUCUCAAGUCAACAAUACUAUCGACUUUCAAAAUGACACCACAAUUUUACUGGAGUUUUUACUAGGAGUUACUGGACGACAAAUUGAUACCGCCUCAACUAAAACUACAGUUACU